GCAGUCGACGGUAGCACAGAGGAGCUUGCUCCUUGGGUGACGAGUGGCGGACGGGUGAGUAAUGUCUGGGAAACUGCCCGAUGGAGGGGGAUAACUACUGGAAACGGUAGCUAAUACCGCAUAACGUCGCAAGACCAAAGAGGGGGACCUUUGGGCCUCUUGCCAUCGGAUGUGCCCAGAUGGGAUUAGCUAGUAGGUGGGGUAACGGCUCACCUAGGCGACGAUCCCUAGCUGGUCUGAGAGGAUGACCAGCCACACUGGAACUGAGACACGGUCCAGACUCCUACGGGAGGCAGCAGUGGGGAAUAUUGCACAAUGGGCGCAAGCCUGAUGCAGCCAUGCCGCGUGUAUGAAGAAGGCCUUCGGGUUGUAAAGACUUUUUCAGCGGGGAGGAAGGGAGUAAAGUUAAUACCUUUGCUCAUUGACGUUACCCGCAGAAGAAGCACCGGCUAACUCCGUGCCAGCAGCCGCGGUAAUACGGAGGGUGCAAGCGUUAAUCGGAAUUACUGGGCGUAAAGCGCACGCAGGCGGUUUGUUAAGUCAGAUGUGAAAUCCCCGGGCUCAACCUGGGAACUGCAUCUGAUACUGGCAAGCUUGAGUCUCGUAGAGGGGGGUAGAAUUCCAGGUGUAGCGGUGAAAUGCGUAGAGAUCUGGAGGAAUACCGGUGGCGAAGGCCGCCCCCUGGACGAAGACUGACGCUC
rnacentral:rRNA from 1 species